rnacentral:rRNA from 1 species
CUACGGGGCGCUGCAGUGAGGAAUAUUGCACAAUGGGGGGAACCCUGAUGCAGCAACGCCGCGUGGAGGAUGACGCAUUUCGGUGUGUAAACUCCUUUUAUAUGUCAAGAAAAUGACGGUAGCAUAUGAAUAAGCACCGGCUAACUCCGUGCCAGCAGCCGCGGUAAUACGGAGGGUGCAAGCGUUACUCGGAAUCACUGGGCGUAAAGGACGCGUAGGCGGGUUGGAAAGUCAGGUGUGAAAUCCUACAGCUUAACUGUAGAACUGCACUUGAAACUUCUAAUCUAGAGUAUGGGAGGGGGAGAUGGAAUUAGAGGUGUAGGGGUAAAAUCCGUAGAUAUCACUAGGAAUACCUAAAGCGAAGGCGAUCUCCCGGAACAUUACUGACGCUAAGGCGUGAAAGCGUGGGGAGCAAACAGGAUUAGAUACCCGGGUAGUC